GACGAACGCUGGCGGCGUGCUUAACACAUGCAGGUCGAACGGUGAAGCGCCUUCCUUUUUGGUGGGUGUGGAUGAGUGGCGAACGGGUGAGUAACACGUGAGUAACCUGCCCCCUUCUUCUGGAUAACCGCAUGAAAGUGUGGCUAAUACGGGAUAUUCUGGGUCUGUCGCAUGAUGGGUCUGGGAAAGAUAUUGUUUCGGUGGGGGAUGGGCUCGCGGCCUAUCAGCUUGUUGGUGGGGUGAUGGCCUACCAAGGCGGUGACGGGUAGCCGGCCUGGGAGGGUGGACGGUCACACUGGGACUGAGACACGGCCCAGACUCCUACGGGAGGCAGCAGUGGGGAAUAUUGCACAAUGGGCGCAAGCCUGAUGCAGCGACGCCGCGUGAGGGAUGGAGGCCUUCGGGUUGUGAACCUCUUUCGCCAGUGAAGCAGGCCUGCCUCGUUUGUGGGUGGGUUGACGGUAGCUGGAGAAGAAGCGCCGGCUAACUACGUG
rnacentral:rRNA from 1 species